GACGAACCGUCCUAACGUUGUUCGGAAUCACUGGGCUUAAAGGGCGCGUAGGCGGGUUCCCAAGUCGGUGGUGAAAUCUUUCGGCCCAACCGGAAAACAGCCGCCGAUACUGGGAGUCUUGAGGGAGGUAGGGGUCGAUGGAACUUCCGGUGGAGCGGUGAAAUGCGUAGAUAUCGGAAGGAACGCCGGUGGCGAAAGCGGCAUCCUGGACCAAUUCUGACGCUGAGUGAGCGAAAAGCCAGGGGGAGCAAACGGGG
rnacentral:rRNA from 1 species